rnacentral:rRNA from 1 species
ACGCUCGACACCUACGGGAGGCAGCAGUGGGAAUAUUGCACAAUGGGGGAAACCCUGAUGCAGCGACGCCGCGUGAGUGAAGAAGUAUUUCGGUAUGUAAAGCUCUAUCAGCAGGGAAGAAAAUGACGGUACCUGAGUAAGAACGCCCCGGCUAACUACGUGUCAGCAGCCGCGGUAAUCUGAGCGGCUGGCAAGGC